CCCCUCUCAGAACUGCAUCUGGAGAGUUUCCAGUACUUUACCAGUCUCAGCUACCAGAAGGAGAGUCAAGCAGAGGCAUGCCCAUUCCAUUCCUAACUUGGACAGUGGCUAGGAAAUGGAAGGCAAUCUGCUACAAGU